rnacentral:tRNA from 7 species
GGGGGCGUAGCUCAGCGGGAGAGCGCCUGCUUUGCAAGCAGGGGGUCGUCGGUUCGAAUCCGAUCGCCUCCA